UCCUGUGCCAUGUGCUCUGGGAUGACCCUGCUUGAGCAGGGAGGUGGGACCAGAUAACCCAUGGAGGUACCUUCCAGCCUGGACCCAUCCUGUGAUUCAACGCUGCCAUCAGCUUGGAAACUGAAUCCCACCAACUCGAGACGGUGACUCCACCACCUCCCCUGGGCGGCCGACGGCGGGGCUGAGGCCGGACCCGGCUGCGCCCUGAGCCCGGACCCGGCGCUGCACCCUGAGCUCCCGAGGAAAGCUUAUCUAUAAAAAGGGACGCCCACAGUGUCCAGGUGGUGCCCCUGUGGACCGCGGAUCUCUUGUUGUCCAGAUCGAUACUGGUCCCAGGACCGAUGAUCUCCUUUUCUCUCUCUCUGUCUCUCUCUUCCCACUUUAUUUUUUCUUUAUUGUUCUUUUAUUUCUCUUGCUACUAGAAGAUGAGUUAACUUAUACCAGUUUACAUGCCACAUGUAUAAUUUACUAAUAAAACUUUUAAAGUA